rfam:Cladophialophora psammophila CBS 110553 aczJe-supercont1.4, whole genome shotgun sequence.
GUCAGUGUGGCCGAGUGGUUAAGGCGUGUGACUUGAACCGUCAACAGUGAACUUGAUCGGUGUUUUCCCACCGCGAAAGUUUUCAGUUUUCACAUUCAAGAACUGAUAUCACAUCUCUUCGGAGGCACAGGUUCGAACCCUGUCGCUGACG